GACGAACGCUGGCGGCGUGCCUAAUACAUGCAAGUCGAGCGGACAGAUGGGAGCUUGCUCCCUGAAGUCAGCGGCGGACGGGUGAGUAACACGUGGGCAACCUGCCUGUAAGACUGGGAUAACUCCGGGAAACCGGGGCUAAUACCGGAUAAUUCUUUCCCUCACAUGAGGGAAAGCUGAAAGAUGGUUUCGGCUAUCACUUACAGAUGGGCCCGCGGCGCAUUAGCUAGUUGGUGAGGUAACGGCUCACCAAGGCAACGAUGCGUAGCCGACCUGAGAGGGUGAUCGGCCACACUGGGACUGAGACACGGCCCAGACUCCUACGGGAGGCAGCAGUAGGGAAUCUUCCGCAAUGGACGAAAGUCUGACGGAGCAACGCCGCGUGAGUGAUGAAGGUUUUCGGAUCGUAAAACUCUGUUGUUAGGGAAGAACAAGUACCGGAGUAACUGCCGGUACCUUGACGGUACCUAACCAGAAAGCCACGGCUAACUACGUGCCAGCAGCCGCGGUAAUACGUAGGUGGCAAGCGUUGUCCGGAAUUAUUGGGCGUAAAGCGCGCGCAGGCGGUUCCUUAAGUCUGAUGUGAAAGCCCCCGGCUCAACCGGGGAGGGUCAUUGGAAACUGGGGAACUUGAGUGCAGAAGAGAAGAGUGGAAUUCCACGUGUAGCGGUGAAAUGCGUAGAGAUGUGGAGGAACACCAGUGGCGAAGGCGACUCUUUGGUCUGUAACUGACGCUGAGGCGCGAAAGCGUGGGGAGCAAACAGGAUUAGAUACCCUGGUAGUCCACGCCGUAAACGAUGAGUGCUAAGUGUUAGAGGGUUUCCGCCCUUUAGUGCUGCAGCAAACGCAUUAAGCACUCCGCCUGGGGAGUACGGCCGCAAGGCUGAAACUCAAAGGAAUUGACGGGGGCCCGCACAAGCGGUGGAGCAUGUGGUUUAAUUCGAAGC
rnacentral:rRNA from 1 species